GUUCAUGUAGCUUAAUUAAUAAAGCAAAGCACUGAAAAUGCUUAGAUGAGUUAUUAUGACUCCAUAAACA
rnacentral:tRNA from 2 species